GAGGCAGCAGUGGGGAAUAUUGCACAAUGGGGGAAACCCUGAUGCAGCAACGCCGCGUGAGCGAUGAAGGCCUUCGGGUCGUAAAGCUCUGUCCUAAGGGAAGAUAAUGACGGUACCUUAGGAGGAAGCCCCGGCUAGCUACGUGCCAGCAGCCGCGGUAAUACGUAGGGGGCAAGCGUUAUCCGGAAUAACUGGGCGUAAGGGGUGCGUAGGCGGUCCUGCAAGUCAGAAGUGAAAGGCUACGGCUCAACCGUAGUAAGCAUUUGAAACUGUACAACUUGAGUGCAGGAGAGGUAAGUGGAAUUCCUAGUGUAGCGGUGAAAUGCGUAGAUAUUAGGAGGAACACCAGUGGCGAAGGCGACUUACUGGACUGUAACUGACGCUGAGUCACGAAAGCGUGGGUAGCAAACAGGAUUAGAUACCCUGGUAGUCACGCUGUAAACGAUGAGUGCUAGGUGUUGGCUAGCGAUAGUCAGUGCCGAAGUAAACACAAUAAGCACUCCGCCUGGGGA
rnacentral:rRNA from 1 species